GUGUCAGCAGCCGCGGUAAUACAGAGGGAGCAAGCGUUGUUCGGAAUUACUGGGCGUAAAGGGCGCGUAGGCGGUCUUGUAAGUCCCGUGUGAAAUCCCUCGGCUCAACUGAGGAACUGCACGGGAAACUGCGAGGCUUGAGUUCGGGAGAGGGAAGCGGAAUUCCGGGUGUAGCGGUGAAAUGCGUAGAUAUCCGGAGGAACACCGGUGGCGAAGGCGGCUUCCUGGACCGACACUGACGCUGAGGCGCGAAAGCUAGGGGAGCAAACGGGAUUAGAAACCCCUGUAGUCC
rnacentral:rRNA from 1 species